AUUGAACGCUGGCGGCAUGCUUUACACAUGCAAGUCGAACGAGUGGCGAACGGGUGAGUAAUGCCUCGGAACCUGCCUUGUAAAGGGGGAUAACUGUUCGAAACGAUAGCUAAUACCGCAUACCAUCCGAUCUGCCCAUGUGCGAUUAGCUGGUUGGCGGGGUAAAGGCUCACCAAGGCGACGAUCAGUAGCUGGUCUGAGAGGAUGAACGGCCACCCUGUAACUUAGACACGGCCCAGACUCCUACGGGAGGCAGCAGUGGGGAAUUUUGUACAAUGGGCGCAAGCCUGAUCCAGCCAUGCCGCGUGUGUGAAGAAGGCCUUCGGGUUGUAAAGGACUUUCGGCGGGGAAGCGGUGCCUGCAGAAGAAGCACCGGCUAACUCCGUGCCAGCAGCCGCGGUAAUAC
rnacentral:rRNA from 1 species